AUGCAUGAUGCAGCUUCUUGGGGAAUUGCUGGUGUAGAUUUUGACGUUGUGCAUUACGGGUAAUGGAGCUGUGAUGUUUGCUUUUCAUUCAAGAUAUAAUUUACUCAAAACCUAAAUGUCUCAUUCUUCUCAUUCACGCCGCUUUGUGAUACUCUCAUACGCUCUUUGUAAUCUAUCAAUCUCUGCAUCAACUUCGAAUUCAUCAUCCUGAUCGCUACAUCUUCUUCUUCAAUCCCCAAUUACCAGAAUUACUGAGCAGAUCAAUCGCUAUUUGUAAUUGAAACCCUAACUAUCAAAAAGUGAUUCUGAUUCCAUCAAUCUUGCCUAAAAUCUUAUGUGUUCUUCGAUCUAAACAGAUUGGAUUUAAAGUUGUGAGGGAUGCUACGCCGGUGAGAUGAAUUGCCAUGAAAUAUUACUGCAAACUAACUAACUGAGAUGUGUAAUUGUUAUAUUUUAUAAAUAAUUUCAAACCUAAAAUAGAAGUCAAAUUUGUGGACAAGGUUAGGUGAGGGAUUAGUGCUAUAAUGUAUAUUAAGAAAUUUGUAAGGCUUACAGGUGAAUUAAUUUUUUUUUCUUUAUGGUGAACAUGG
rnacentral:lncRNA from 1 species